ACAGAAUACCAUAAGUACCAACCAAACUCCUUGCAGAUUCAGUGGUUCUGGCGUGCCUUGAGGUCCUUUGAUCAGGCAGAACGUGCGAAGUUCCUGCAGUUUGUAACUGGAACCAGCAAAGUACCACUACAAGGUUUUGUAGCAUUGGAGGGGAUGAAUGGUACUCAAAAGUUCCAGAUUCACCGUGACGACAGAUCCACCGAUAGGUUACCUUCAGCUCAUACCUGUUUCAACCAGUUGGACCUGCCUGUGUACGAAACCUACGAUAAGCUGCGUCACUAUUUAUUGAAAGCAAUUCACGAGUGUUCUGAGGGUUUUGGUUUUGCAUAAGAAAUUUUCAUUGUUCUCACAGAUCUAGCCACUAAUUUCUAGUGACUAAAUAAACCAAAAUGUUAAAAUUUGAAAGAAAAGGAAAAAAAAAAAGAAAAAUGGGUAAAACUAUCGAAAACCCCCUUGCUACAGUGUGUGCACAGUGGAAGCUUUAAUGUUCACAAGUGUAGUCUUGGGAAGCAAAGGUUGAACCAAUACCGAGACACACACAGACAAGAGUGAUUAAUCUUACUGGUGUAAUGGAAGGUUCAUCUCUAAUAUUGUAAUACUUUAUAUAAACCUUGGUUAUUGUGGCUGGAGAGUGGUGUGCGUGUGUGUUUGAAUAUCCCAUUAUUGUUUUUAGGAUUCAUUUUUAUUUUUUUUUAUUUUUUUUAUUGUUUACUAAUAUAUGAUUAAAUAGCCAACGCAAAAGGAGGUUGGGAGUUCAUUGCUGCCAAGCUAAUAUUUGCCGAAGCGUCAUAUGAGGAUAAAGUUAGACACAGAGCUACAAUGCUUGACUUGUUUAUGGCGUAGAAUAGUGUGUGGUAUUGCCAUAUACAUAAUAUACCUGAACAAAUUUCUAAACCUUUAAUUUUGGAUUUGUCUCCUUUGACUGGAUUUUCUCAGCAUAUAGUGUGUGCACAGAUUAUUGAAAAAAUAUUUUGAGCAGCUUUGGAUAUUUUAUAAAUAAAUGAACCUUCCAGCAAAUGUGAUAGACAUUACCACAUUUCUCUGCCCAGUAUACUCUUUACCCUUAAACUCACCUUUCC